AUCUAUUUUGAGCAUAUAUUUUUGUUAGGAUUCGGGUUAGUGUGAGUGCUCUUUCCUACAGAGGAUCUUCGGGGGAGAGUUCUGACAGGCUGGCGCACCGGCAGCUGAUUCCAAGUGAUUGACUGGACUUUUAAGAAACAGUGGAACAGUCACUCAUCGCUCGAUGGUCCCACUUGUUGAAACCGAUCAGCUGUUGGAUUCAAGCCAGGAAUCAAGUCGGGACUGGGAAAUCGUUCCCUGCCAAGAUUGAACAUCUCUGCCUGCCGCUCUCCUCCCCACUCCAUCGUCGGUCAUCUUUACGCUCCCGGAUCCUGGCCUUUCCCUCCGCACAACCACCACCCGUAAAACGAACCCGAGCUGAUCUGCCAAUCCCGUUUCCUGGAACACAGUCAGAGUGUACUUUUGGAAAUGCAUUAAACUUUUACUGAACAGUU